rnacentral:tRNA from 1 species
CGGGGCGUGGCUCAGCCUGGUAGAGCGCCUGGUUCGGGACCAGGAGGCCGGAGGUUCGAAUCCUCCCGCCCCGACCA